rnacentral:rRNA from 1 species
CACGUGCCAUGGUACCUUCUCUUUUUUCUGGUGGCGUGGCGCGGCGCGCACCCCCACGUCGCGUGGUGCGCUUCCUUUUUUUGGUGGCGCGGCACCACUCGGGGCGCGGGCAGGCGAAAGAGGAGCAAAGGUUGGGAUUUUAGAAAAGGGGGAUGUAGGCGAGUAGGGGAGGUGAGGGAGCUGUUGCCACCGCCGCCGGGGGAGACCACCGCCUCCUCCUCCCCCCUCUACCACCGCGCCGCCGCUGGAAGGGGGGAGCAGUAGGACCUAGGGUGGCCUGGGCUCCGCACGCCCGCGCCGCCGCUGGACGUUCCCUUCCCGCUGUGAGCUUAGCUAGGUCGCGGUACCUAGCAAGGGACGCGCUCUUUCUCUUUUACUCCCUCUCUCUUCCUUCCUCUCCUUCGUCUUUCUCUCUCCUUUCUCCUCUCCCUCCACGUCGCAACUGGCUGCCGAGCGCGCCACCACGCCGUCUGCCGCCGGAGUCGCCCACACGCUGCUGUGGUGCGUCGAGGACACGGCGCGUUGGGAGAGGAGCGUCCGAGUUGUCCUCCAAGGGUUCGGUCGAGCCCGGCGACGAUGGAGAAGGAGCGGCGGGUUGUCUCACGAAGUUCUAGCUAGACUACUAGGUGAUGGCGAGACGACAACCCUGAUUAAACCUACCCUUACCACUAAACUACCAACUAAUACUAAUGAACCAAGAACGAGAACCUCAAUGACACUUAUGUAAGUUGUGAGGACCACACUACCUCGUAACGGUGAAAGACUUCCAUCACCUCCUACGGGUUUUCUAAGCCUUCUCGCACUAUCUGACGAAACUUUUCCGCAGUGAAGGAUUGGAGUCACUUCUCCUCUUUUCCUUCUAGGAAGUGAAACACUAAUAGCCACCACCUGGAUGACCCCAACUUAAACGACACCUCAACGUACUAAAAGAACAGCUUCUAGACCACUUCGAUAUAGGACGUUAACUUCUUUUGAGAGUUGAGGAUGAACGCGAGGCGGAGAAGGAGGAAAAGUAGCGAGUUAUCCUCCGUCGAGUAGACCGGCACGUCGUCUGGUGCAGGACUCGCCCAGCCACUGCCGCCAACGUCGACCACGUGCCGCUAAGGUUGCUGUUGUCCUUAGACGUUGAACAAUCUGAAGAAACGUUGGGGUUGUUCCGGGAGUAGACGAAACAGAUGUAUAUACGUACUAAAGAUACUAACCUUAGUCUAUCGUGAUUGAUACACAGUCUGACGAUUAUAAAUAAACGAACUACUAGGAACUUCGCGUGAGAUGCGAGUAUGUACUAGGGUGUAUAAGAUCUACGAAAGAACUCCGAAACCGAUUUUUAGACACCACAUGCAGUGAGUAGUCCAUUGAGACUGCCCGAUUACGGAAUUCGACCCUGUAUGUUGUUUUAUGAAUAAAAUACCCUCCUCAAAUACCUUGACCCAUCACGAGUAGUCCUACGAGAACGUCGUUAACUGUGUUAGCUACACCGAUUACCUCGGUCAAGGAUAGAAAUCUGUCAGUGUAGGUGCAAGCAUGAAAAUCUUAUCAACAACGUUGCCCCUUCUCGUAAAGACGUUAUCGUUCUAUAGUACUGGGUUACCCGUAUCCGGCUUGGUUGGUGGUAGUGAUAACGAAGUCCUAAUCUAUCGGUUGAAGGUGAGUACUCGGACAGCUCAGUUCAAAGUCUGACUAGUACAUAGGGGAACUAUAAGUGACCUACCUUAGGGGACAAAAUGAGUUUGACUUGGAAGAUGUUUGUAGCCUUUUCGUUGUCAUCAUUUCUACCUGUCUUUAAGGUUUUUAUUCCACAAAAAAUACCUACAUCGACCAACGCUACUUCGAUUUGUUCUUUAUUACGAUAGUGAAUAAUGGAAACAGGAAGUUUAAACUCAUAUCCGGACACUUUAUUACUUAUAAACACAGAGUAACGAGGUCGUACCAGUUAUUUCUAUACAACUGGGUCCUUUACACCCAAAUAGUAUCCAGGAUGACAUAUGCAACUAUAUACUUUAUACUGUAAAGGCCAAUAUACGAUAGUGAAUAAUGGAGACGGGAAACGUAACUCAUAUCCGGACACUUUAUUACCACAUAAACACACAACUAAGCAGACAAAAGGAAGUACAAGACCAAUUCCAUGGUCCUGUCUGGGUCUCAAUAAACAUUUUUUCACGAAAGGUUACAUGGUUAUAAAACAUAGGAAAGAUUACGAAUUUUUUCUCCGCUUAUUAAGAAAAUCUUAUACAUUAUAGGCUGUACACAUUGCGUGGAAUUCUCUGAUGAUUCAAUAGGACAUAUUAACCGUGCGGGAUGAAAACAUCAUUAUUUAUAUAGUACACGACGAGGUAUGUCCACUAUGUAACGUAAAUGGUAUCAUAAACUAAUGUAUACUAUUGUAUUUUAGACAAAAAAGGAAUCGCCAAGCCGUGUGAAUCACGUAUCUUUGUCUCAUGUCCGUUUAACUAAUCUACGUAAUCAAUUCUUGUGACUAAAAAAAACCUUUCGAAGUAGUACUGUAGCUAUAACCAAAGCGGAAUGACGGUGAGUCUCCAACCUACCUCGUAGCUCCUAAAGUCCGAACCCCACCGGUGUACAACGUUCUAUCGUCCUUCUCAACCUACACAAGACGUCUCUGGUCCACUAGUUACAGCACAUGUUGUGAAGAUUUAAACCAGUAAAUAAAUAGGAGUAUCGACCAAGGGAACUAUGAAAAAGAAUCUUUGUACUAGUUUCUAUGUUUUUCAAAAUGAAGACUUCGUCUUCACCGUCAUAUCACACGUACGGCAUAACUGGACAAGUACGGUUACCGUCUUCAUAGACUAAGUAGGCUGGAUUAAGUUCAAUUGAACUCACGUCGUCAUCUAUUUGUAAGUGAAUGUUUAAGAUGAGGUUUACCUGUCAUUAUCAUCAUGCACCCGUCACAUUUUACACAAAAACAAUCAAGUCACUUUUAAUCUCUAGUUGGACUACCAUGAAGUAAAAAUAAGAUUAGACGGUUUACGAUAAUUCCUUUACUUCAAAGAAGGAGCUAGUUCAAUAGUCAGGAACCAAGUGAGAACGGGAAACGCGACCUACUCUGCCCCUCCUCCUCCUCCUCCUCUCACACCCCCGUAGACCUCUCCUCGCUCCCCACUCUUCAUCGUUCUCCAAGGAAUUAUCGUAAACCGUCUAAUCUUAUUUUAACUUCAUGGUAGUCCAACUAGAGAUUAAAAGUGACUUGAUUGUUUUUGUGUAAACGAGGUGUAAAGGGAAACGCGACAGUCACUUUUACAAUAUGCAGAAUCGAUGGAGACGAGCGAAAGCUACAAGUCAAGUGAUGAAAUGACGAGAAAGGAAUUAAAGCUCUCCUGUGUCCUCUCCCUCGAUGUUACCGUCCUCUUCUUACGUUGCUCCACGCCAGAAGACAAGCUACGGUUCCCGGACAGGCCGUCACUAAAGGAGCCCUACUAGAUCUACUAUAUUGUUUUCCUAAUAUAUACGUAAACACACGAAGUCUUUUCCAAUGACGAUGUAAGUUGAAAAGUGGUCUUUACUAAGCAUAUAGGACUUCUACAACGAUCGCAGAACUUCCUAAUGAAUAUAAACGAGGGAUUAAAGGACCUAAUAUGCUUCACUCAACCUAGUAGCUCCCAACCGCUUUGACUAUAAGUUUAAACAAAACAAGAAAUCUGGUCUGUAAUCGGGAAAGAGAGAUAAAUUGUAUAAAGUUCAAGAGUACAAUGUAAUAUGAGGGAGGCAGGGUAUUACAUUCUGCAAAAAACUGUGAUUACAUCACAUUUUUUUUCAGAAUGUAAUACCCUGCCUCCCUCAUCAUUUAUAAGUUAAGUGAAGAUAAAACAUCUGUCCAGUAAUCGGAAAAGAGAGAUAAAUUGUGUAAAGUUCAAGAGUACAAUGUAGUUUUCAUGCGACCAAUCCUACAAACGUUGUACGGCACACAACAUUAGAAACAGGUGACAUGUACGUGUAUAAUUUAUGAAAGUAAUCAUGAAAAUGUAUAAAG